CCUCGGGAGCAGCAGUGGGGAAUAUUGGACAAUGGGCGAAAGCCUGAUCCAGCCAUGCCGCGUGUGUGAAGAAGGCCUUCGGGUUGUAAAGCACUUUCAGUGGGGAAGAAAGCCUUGGGGCUAAUACCCUCGAGGAAGGACAUCACCCACAGAAGAAGCACCGGCUAACUCCGUGCCAGCAGCCGCGGUAAUACGGAGGGUGCGAGCGUUAAUCGGAAUUACUGGGCGUAAAGCGCGCGUAGGCGGUCUGAUAAGCCGGUUGUGAAAGCCCCGGGCUCAACCUGGGAACGGCAUCCGGAACUGUCAGGCUAGAGUGCAGGAGAGGAAGGUAGAAUUCCCGGUGUAGCGGUGAAAUGCGUAGAGAUCGGGAGGAAUACCAGUGGCGAAGGCGGCCUUCUGGACUGACACUGACGCUGAGGUGCGAAAGCGUGGGUAGCAAACAGGAUUAGAUACCCGAGUAGUC
rnacentral:rRNA from 1 species